CCUACGGGAGGCAGCAGUGGGGAAUAUUGGACAAUGGGGGGAACCCUGAUCCAGCGACGCCGCGUGAGUGAAGAAGUAUUUCGGUAUGUAAAGCUCUAUCAGCAGGGAAGAAAAUGACGGUACCUGACUAAGAAGCCACGGCUAACUACGUGCCAGCAGCCGCGGUAAUACGUAGGGGGCAAGCGUUAUCCGGAUUUACUGGGUGUAAAGGGAGCGUAGACGGUGCAGCAAGUCUGAUGUGAAAGGUCGGGGCCCAACCCCUGGACUGCAUUGGAAACUGUUGAACUGGAGUACAGGAGAGGUAAGCGGAAUUCGUGGUGUAGCGGUGAAAUGCGUAGAUAUUAGGAGGAACACCAGUUGCGAAGGCGGCUUACGGGACUGUAACUGACGUUGAGGCUCGAAAGCGUGGGUAGCAAACAGGAUUAGAUACCCCAGUAGUC
rnacentral:rRNA from 1 species